rnacentral:rRNA from 1 species
UGGGAUGACGUCAAGUCCUCAUGGCCUUUAUGUCUAGGGCUACGACACGUACUACAAUGGCCGGUACAAAGGGCAGCCACUCAGCGAUGAGGCGCUAAUCCCAAUAAAGCCGGUACUCAGUCCGGAUCGCAGUCUGCAACUCGACUGCGUGAAGUUGGAAUCGCUAGUAAUCGUAGAUCAGCAUGCUACGGUGAAUACGUUCCCGGGCCUU